rnacentral:rRNA from 1 species
UGCCUAACACAUGCAAGUCAACUUGACUGAAGGAGCAAUCUGACAGUAGAGUGGCGCAAGGGUGCGUAACGCGUAAGUAACUUGCCCCAAGGUAAGGAAUAACGUCGAGAAAUCGGCGCUAAUACCUCAUAAUGCAGCGGAUCCGCAUGGAUAUGUUGUUAAAGGUUUACCGCCUUGGGAUAGGCUUGCGUCUGAUUAGCUAGUUGGUGUGGUAACGGCACACCAAGGCUACGAUCAGUAACUGGUCUGAGAGGAUGAUCAGUCACACUGGAACUGAGACACGGUCCAGACUCCUACGGGAGGCAGCAGUGAGGAAUAUUGGGCAAUGCUCGAAAGAGUGACCCAGCAACGCCGCGUGGAGGAUGAAGGUAUUCUAUAUCGUAAACUCCUGUGAGAGCAGACGAAAGACAGAUUAUUAAUCUGGAUGACUGUAUGCUCAGAGGAAGCCCCGGCUAACUACGUG